rnacentral:sRNA from 1 species
GGAAUAUUUGGCUGUGGCAUCUGUCAUCCUUCACGUUCUAGGCAGAUUCAGCUGAUGUGGCUAAGUGGUGUCUUUCUCACUCACUACUCCAGAUGCCUCAGUUCCAAAGCUGCAUGCUCAUUUGACAAGGAUGACUUUUCCUCAGAGAGGAGGAUGGUCAUAGGUGGAAGGCAUAUGUGCACCUGAAAGCUUCUGUAAAACCUCCAAACAUGUUCUGUAGAGAUGUUCUAACGUUUACUGCAUAGCCAUUCUCACU